UUUUUUUUUUUUUUUUUUUUUGAGAAGCUGAAGCGCUGUCUUGGGUUCUGGAGAUGAUGAACAGGGGUCAUAUCCCAGCAACAUGUUUGGCAAGUUGUGUGACCUUGAACAGGUCACAUGAAUGUGGGCCUUACUACCCUAGAGUAGUGUGACCGGUUACUCGGGUAUAAUGUAUUUUGAGCACCUGUUUCCACAUCACUAUUGUAAGGUCAGAUGCUAAGAACUGUGUUAGUUAUUUUUCUGUUGCUGUGAUAAAACAGCCAGGACCAGUGCAACUUAAGGAAGGAAGAGUAUAUUUAGGCUUAGGGUUUCAGAAGGAUUUAAGGGUUGGUGAUGGCAGAGUGGAGGCAUGGUAGCUGGAGAAGAAUGCUAAGAGCUUCCAUCUGCAAACUGAAAGCUCAAGCCAGAGACAGCCACUGGAAAGGGUUUUGGGGCCUAAAGUUUAGACUCAACCUCCUGUAGAUGUUGCUUCUAUUUCCUCAGAUGAUGGGAUGAGAUGAGCUGGGCUGAGCCCAGAGCACUUAUUUCUCUUAACUAUCUCUAGGCCUAGUCCUGCAAAGCUUCUAGCCUCCAUACAAUCCAAUCUUUCAAGCUGUACAGAUGGUUGUGAGCCUUCAUGUAGUUGUUGGGAAUUGAAAUUUAGGACCUCUGCUCACUCUGGUCAACCCUGCUAGCUCUGUUCGGCCUUACUCGCUCAGUCCCUGCUUGCUCCGGCCCAAUUUAUUUAUUAUUAUACAUAAGUACACUGUAGCUGCCUUCCGACACACCAGAAGAAGGUGUCAGAUCUCAUUACAGUUGGUUGUGAGGCAUCAUGUGGUUGCUGGGAUUUGAACUCAGGACCUUUAGGAAGAGCAGUCAGUGCUUUUACCUGCUGAGCCAGUUCUCCAGCCCCAGGCCGAUUGAUUCAAUCUGGCUUUUCUCUGUUUCUGACUGAAUUGCUCUGCUUGGCCUCAUACUAACUUAGGCUAUAUGUUCUACUCUUCUGGCUCAUUCUCAUUCUCUGGCUUGUUCUAUCUUCACCUGUGUCGAGUUUGCUCUUUUUCUGCAAUCUGUCUCUGUAAAACUGUCUUGGUAAAACUGCCACACACACCCCACAUACUACACUAUCCCCCCUCCUCCCCACUCUUAAGUAGCUUCCCUUUCCUGUGCAGUUCUCCGAAGAGUUGGGUAUAUCCUAUCUCUGAGUCAUUCUGUCAACUCUUUCUCUGAUUCAUCACUUUGUCUGCCCCUCGAUUAGAUGCCACUUUCAAACAUGGCUGCUUUCUUCUACAAAGUAACCUUACUUUCAUUGUUAGGGAUUAAAGGUGUGCACUAAGGGUGUGUCUAUACUCCAGCCAGAUCAUACUGUAAUCCAGGGUGUGUCUGCAUCCCAGCUGGAUCACAUAGACCUAGAAGGUUUUAGGAUAUAAUCCCUUGCCAGAGCAGCCAUGUUGCUGGAUUAAAAUCCUCUGUAACCUUCAGUGAUAUACUUUCUCCAAAAGGCCACACCUUCUAAACCUCCCCAAACAGCAUCAUCCCUCUGGGGACCAUGUGUUCAAAUCACGAACCUAUAGGGAGCCAACCUCAUUGCAACCACAGCAGCUGGAGAGCAGCUCAGGUGGGACCUGGCGUGUGGAUAGUGCUCACUGGAUGCUGGUGAGAAGAAUCAUUGAUUGAAAAGAAUACUCAUGUUAGUGAGGCUGGUGGGGACAUGAGAACUAUCUUCCAAUGUUAGGAGGACAACUGGGGACAGAUCUGCAGGCAGCCUGUCAGUGUAUUUAUGCAAGUCAUUGGAACGGAAGUUCUGGUUCUAGAAGCUUAUGCCAAUGAAAUAAUUGUGCAAGUGCACACAUGUAUAUCACAUAGGUGGUUACCACAUUAUUUAUUAUCC
rnacentral:lncRNA from 1 species